rnacentral:rRNA from 1 species
GAUGAACACUGGCGGCGUGCUUAACACAUGCAAGUCGAACGGGAAUUAUUUUAUUGAAACUUCGGUCGAUUUAAUUUAAUUCUAGUGGCGGACGGGUGAGUAACGCGUGGGUAACCUGCCUUAUACAGGGGGAUAACAGUCAGAAAUGGCUGCUAAUACCGCAUAAGCGCACAGAGCUGCAUGGCUCAGUGUGAAAAACUCCGGUGGUAUAAGAUGGACCCGCGUUGGAUUAGCUUGUUGGCAGGGUAACGGCCUACCAAGGCGACGAUCCAUAGCCGGCCUGAGAGGGUGAACGGCCACAUUGGGACUGAGACACGGCCCAGACUCCUACGGGAGGCAGCAGUGGGGAAUAUUGCACAAUGGGGGAAACCCUGAUGCAGCGACGCCGCGUGAAGGAAGAAGUAUCUCGGUAUGUAAACUUCUAUCAGCAGGGAAGAUAGUGACGGUACCUGACGAAGAAGCCCCGGCUAACUACGUG